rnacentral:misc_RNA from 1 species
AGAGAAAUCCAACAAAAUAUCACAAAGAAAGGAAAGAACAAUGAAGAAGAAGUUCCAAUUAAGUCUUUUUUCUUCAACUCCAUUCAACUAAAGAGAGAAAUCCAACAAAAUAUCACUUGAAAAAGAAUAAUACGAAGUACGAGUUUAUCGCCGGCGAGUAUUUUCUCCGGUCCGGCGAGAUCGAGUAGGAGUUGAAGAAUGGGCGGAGGAUGGAGAGGAUCUGGAUCGGCAGCUAGUACAAAUAGGGCACCGAUACUUAAUCGUAUUUCAUCGUCUCGAAGUAUUCGUCUUGGUCAAGUACAACCUCAAGCACCAGGUCAUCGAACUGUUUUUCUGAAUGAUCGUGAUGCUAAUGUCCUUGCUAAAUUCAAGGGAAAUUCUGUUUCAACGACAAAGUAUGAUGUCCUAACGUUCCUGCCAAAGGGGUUAUUUGAACAGUUCAGGCGGGUGGCUAAUCUG